CCUACGGGAGGCAGCAGUGAGGAAUAUUGGUCAAUGGUCGGGAGACUGAACCAGCCAAGCCGCGUGAGGGAUGAAGGUACAGAGUAUCGUAAACCUCUUAUGUCAGGGAACAAAGGCGGGGACGUGUCCCCGGAUGAGUGUACCUGAAGAAAAAGCAUCGGCUAACUCCGGGCCAGCAGCCGCGGUAAUACGGAGGAUGCGAGCGUUAUCCGGAUUGAUUGGGUUUAAAGGGUGCGCAGGCGGUCUGUUAAGUCAGCGGUCAAAGCCAGGGGCUCAACCCCGGCCCGCCGUUGAAACUGGCAGUCUCGAGUUGGAGAGAAGUAUGCGGAAUGCGCGGUGUAGCGGUGAAAUGCAUAGAUAUCGCGCAGAACUCCGAUUGCGAAGGCAGCAUGCCGGCUCCACACUGACGCUGAGGCACGAAAGCGUGGGUAUCGAACAGGAUUAGAUACCCGGGUAGUC
rnacentral:rRNA from 1 species